UUAAAAUUCCGGAACCGGGA
rnacentral:snRNA from 1 species